GGCGGCAGGCCUAACACAUGCAAGUCGAGCGGUAGAGAGAAGCUUGCUUCUCUUGAGAGCGGCGGACGGGUGAGUAAUGCCUAGGAAUCUGCCUGGUAGUGGGGGAUAACGUUCGGAAACGGACGCUAAUACCGCAUACGUCCUACGGGAGAAAGCAGGGGACCUUCGGGCCUUGCGCUAUCAGAUGAGCCUAGGUCGGAUUAGCUAGUUGGUGAGGUAAUGGCUCACCAAGGCGACGAUCCGUAACUGGUCUGAGAGGAUGAUCAGUCACACUGGAACUGAGACACGGUCCAGACUCCUACGGGAGGCAGCAGUGGGGAAUAUUGGACAAUGGGCGAAAGCCUGAUCCAGCCAUGCCGCGUGUGUGAAGAAGGUCUUCGGAUUGUAAAGCACUUUAAGUUGGGAGGAAGGGUUGUAGAUUAAUACUCUGCAAUUUUGACGUUACCGACAGAAUAAGCACCGGCUAACUCUGUGCCAGCAGCCGCGGUAAUACAGAGGGUGCAAGCGUUAAUCGGAAUUACUGGGCGUAAAGCGCGCGUAGGUGGUUUGUUAAGUUGGAUGUGAAAUCCCCGGGCUCAACCUGGGAACUGCAUUCAAAACUGACUGACUAGAGUAUGGUAGAGGGUGGUGGAAUUUCCUGUGUAGCGGUGAAAUGCGUAGAUAUAGGAAGGAACACCAGUGGCGAAGGCGACCACCUGGACUAAUACUGACACUGAGGUGCGAAAGCGUGGGGAGCAAACAGGAUUAGAUACCCUGGUAGUCC
rnacentral:rRNA from 1 species